CCCGGCACGUGUUUCUUCUGCAGGGGAUGUGAGGAGUUCCCUAGUGUCCUGGAGGUUAAGGGUCCAGUCUUUGAUCCCUCCUGUGGUGCAGAUUCAAGCCCUGGACUGGGAACUUCUGCAUGCCCUGGGAGUGGCGAAAAGCAAUCAAUGACCAUUGUGCAUGGUCAUUAUCCAGGUUGUCUCAGCUGCCAAGAGGCAUUUUCACACAAAACCAGUGUGGGGGAUGUAACGGUUUGAAGUGCACGCCAAAGAGCAAGAUCUUUCUAAGUAAAACUUGGAUGCUGAAGGCUCUGUUGGGCAGCUGGGGAUUAUGGGCAUUGAGGGCUUGGCCUGGGAGUCAACUGUUAGUCAUUUCCCUGUGGUCUUCUGCAAUCAGUAUAUCACUCGUUCUCUCUGUUGUCAUGUAUUUUCCAGAAUCUUGCUUUGGGAGGAAAGGAUCUUGCUGCAGGAGUCUGAGGAUAUGUUUGUCCUCUGUGAGCUUGGCUAGAAUAAUCCCAUGGUGGCCACACAACAGAGUGCACCCUGCCACUGAGCCAGACGAAGAUACUGUGGAACCUGACUCAGUACAUUCAGCAACCCCCGACGAUGUUGUGGAGGCCGGUGGGAGUGAGAAGACCAAGGAGGAGGCCCUGGCUGGGGAAACUGAGGAGGAGAUGGGGCUGGGGACUGUGAAGGCGGAGGAGGAGGAGGAAAAGGAGGAAGCUGCAGCCAUAGACAAGGCGGAGGAGGAGGCGGGCCCAGCCCAUGAAAAUGACAAGGAGGAGUCGCCAGCCAGCGACCGGGCUGAGCACGAAGACAAGCCUGCCCCCAAGGUAAGCUCACCUUUCUUGAUGUGAGAUUUGAAAAGUUGCCUUUUUUCUUUUUGAUAUCCCUAUCUCAGAAAUGGAAAUCUGAGAAAGUCCGUUAUAGAGGGUAUAUGCAGAUUCCUCUGCGGAGGAAUGUUGAGUCAAAGUUUGGUACCAACCAAUAACUCCUUCCAAGGGGCACUGGCCAAAGUGACCGCAUCAGUUCCCAAGUGUACAGCAGGGAGCAUUUUUCUUUGAAGAAGCCUGAAUGUUGUUUUGUUUUGUUUGUCUUUUUGCCUUUUCUAGGGCCACUCCCGUGGCAUAUGGAGUUUCCCAGGCCAGGGGUCUCAUCGGUGCUGUAGACACCGGCCUACGCCAGAGACGCAGCAGCGUGGGAUCCGAGCCAUGUCGGCAGCCUACACCACAGCUCAUGGCAAUGCCGGAUCCUUAACCUACUGAGCAAGGCCAGGGAUGCAAACCGCAACCGCAUGGUUCCUGGUGGGAUUGCCACGACGGG
rnacentral:lncRNA from 1 species